rnacentral:lncRNA from 1 species
AUUAUCGAACUCAUUUUUGUUUUCAUUUUCAGAACAAGUGUAACGAUAGUCAAAAAGACGUCUCCAAAUACAAGAAGAAGUUCAAUGCUAUGAAAUCAUAUAUGAAGAAACUUAAUAAGACUUUGAAGACUUCUGGACUCGACAAGACGCAGAUAGCUUCUACUUCAAAGUCCACAAUAUCGUCUGCAUUCGGAUCAGAUAUUUCUGAUUCUGAUUCAGAAGACUCGCUUUCAGACGAGUGUUGAUUAAACGAUUUUUUUUUCUUAUUUAAACUUCGAAUGUUUAACAAUUCUGUAAUUUAAUUUCUUUUUAAUAAAAAACAUCGAUUUCAAUUUCAAUUUCAAAAUCGUUUUCUCAAAUAUCGAUUUCUAUUUAAAAAAACAACGAUUCGAACGCAAAAUAUAGAAUCCUGUUUUAAACAAAAAAUGUAACAAACAUUGUAUGGCGGAUUUCCGCCAUCUAUACUCUUCUACUAAGUUUUAGAUGGCGGAAAUCCGCCAUCUAAAUAUGGGCACAAUCGCCCUCUCCUACGAAUAGAUGGCGGAUAUCUGCCAUCUAUAAACUAAGGGAACCGCCUGCUGUAAUUUAGAUGGCGGAUUUCCGCCAUCUAAUAUUCCAAGGAUAGUCGGCGGACAUCCGCCAUCAAUGAAAUUAACCGCCAUCAAUAAAUUGGCACCAAACUAUUCCCGCGCCAUAUUUUAGAUGGCGGAUUUCCGCCAUCUAAAACUUUUCAGUUCGCGCGAAAAUUUUCAGAUUAGAUGGCCGAUUUCCGCCAUCUAUACGAUUUUUGGUGGGAAAUGGGGAUGAAUAAUAGAUGGCGGACUUUAGAUGGCGGUUUAGGGGUUUUAAUGACGGUGUCCAAGAUGGAGGUCUUUAGAUGGUGGAUUUCCGCCGACGAUCACUUUAGAUGGCGGAAAUCCGCCAUCUAAAGACCGCCAUACAAGGUCUUAUUUUUUGUAGUGUCGAUUUUAGACUAUUCAUGAUGUAUUUUGGCUGCCUAAAUGUCUGUUUUCCUACAAUUAACAAAGUACGUAUUUAUAGUGAAGAUGAAAAAAAUCGUGUCCAUAUAUAUCGAUCAAAACUAUUUGGGGAAAGUUUAUACAUAUAUCACAUAUGGUUACCUUAUCAAUUAAUUCCAAUUAUUAUUCCAAUUAAUUAACGAAAAAAGAUUGGACCUUUUUGAUAUUUCUUAUCUAAAUAUAUAUAUAUAUAUUGAAAUCCUAUCCUACAUAUACACUCACCUUGAUUAUCAACCAUCGUAUCAUCAAGCCAUCAAGGUAUAUGUGAAUUUUCUUGUAUCGAUUUUCUUUAUUUAUAGAAAUAAUAAAAUACCGUUUAAUUUAUUACUUCUUUCUUGGUGGAUUGAUUUGCAGGUUAAAAUCAUAUGGAGAAUUACAAUUAUCGAAGAUUAAAAUCUGCAUCAUCUCCUAAUAUUUCUCCUAAUCCUAACAACUCAACUGAUCAUCAUAAGCACUACAACAAAUGGAACGAUAUUAUUUUUCUUCUGAGUUUCUUUUUCUCAGNNN